rnacentral:rRNA from 1 species
GGGAUACCGAUUGGAAACGAUCGUUAAUACCGCAUAACAUAAUUGAACCGCAUGAUUUGAUUAUCAAAGAUUUAUCGCUGAAAGAUGAGCUCGCGUCUGAUUAGCUAGUUGGUAAGGUAACGGCUUACCAAGGCGACGAUCAGUAGCCGGACUGAGAGGUUGAUCGGCCACAUUGGGACUGAGACACGGCCCAGACUCCUACGGGAGGCAGCAGUGGGGAAUAUUGCACAAUGGAGGAAACUCUGAUGCAGCGAUGCCGCGUGAGGGAAGAAGGUUUUAGGAUUGUAAACCUCUGUCUUCAGGGACGAAAAAUGACGGUACCUGAGGAGGAAGCCCCGGCUAACUACGUGCCAGCAGCCGCGGUAAUACGUAGGGAGCGAGCGUUGUCCGGAAUUACUGGGUGUAAAGGGAGCGCAGGCGGGAUCGCAAGUCAGAUGUGAAAACUAUGGGCUUAACCCAUAAACUGCAUUUGAAACUGUGGUUCUUGAGUGAAGUAGAGGUAAGCGGAAUUCCUAGUGUAGCGGUGAAAUGCGUAGAUAUUAGGAGGAACAUCAGUGGCGAAGGCGGCUUACUGGGCUUUAACUGACGCUGAGGCUCGAAAGCGUGGGGAGCAAACAGGAUUAGAUACCCUGGUAGUCCACGCCGUAAACGAUGAUUACUAGGUGUGGGGGGACUGACCCCUUCCGUGCCGCAG